UAGGGAAUCUUCGGCAAUGGACGAAAGUCUGACCGAGCAACGCCGCGUGAGUGAAGAAGGUUUUCGGAUCGUAAAACUCUGUUGUUAGAGAAGAACAAGGAUGAGAGUAAAACGUUCAUCCCUUGACGGUAUCUAACCAGAAAGCCACGGCUAACUAUGUGCCAGCAGCCGCGGUAAUACGUAGGUGGCAAGCGUUGUCCGGAUUUAUUGGGCGUAAAGCGAGCGCAGGCGGUUUCUUAAGUCUGAUGUGAAAGCCCCCGGCUCAACCGGGGAGGGUCAUUGGAAACUGGGAAACUUGAGUGCAGAAGAGGAGAGUGGAAUUCCAUGUGUAGCGGUGAAAUGCGUAGAUAUAUGGAGGAACACCAGUGGCGAAGGCGGCUCUCUGGUCUGUAACUGACGCUGAGGCUCGAAAGCGUGGGGAGCAAACA
rnacentral:rRNA from 1 species